rnacentral:misc_RNA from 1 species
AAGUCGUAACAAGGUUUCCGUAGGUGAACCUGCGGAAGGAUCAUUAAAGAAUUGGCUUCGCGGCCAAGUUCUCACCCUUUGUAUACCGAAACUUGUUGCUGGCCGCCUUCUUCGCGCGCCAGAGGUUAUAAACCCUAGAAUCUCUGCUGUCUGAGUACUAUACAAUAGUUAAAA